CAGUCGCCGCGGUAAUACGUAGGGGGCAAGCGUUGUCCGGAAUUAUUGGGCGUAAAGCGCGCGCAGGCGGCUUCUUAAGUCUGAUGUGAAAGCCCCCGGCUCAACCGGGGAGGGUCAUUGGAAACUGGGAAACUUGAGUGCAGAAGAGGAGAGUGGAAUUCCACGUGUAGCGGUGAAAUGCGUAGAGAUGUGGAGGAACACCAGUGGCGAAGGCGACUCUCUGGUCUGUAGCUGACGCUGAGGAGCGAAAGCGUGGGGAGCGAACAGGAUUAGAUACCCCAGUAGUCCCUGUCUCUUAUAC
rnacentral:rRNA from 1 species